GACGAACGCUGGCGGCGUGCUUAACACAUGCAAGUCGAACGGAAAGGCCCUGCUUUUGUGGGGUGCUCGAUUGGCGAACGGGUGAGUAACACGUGAGUAACCUGCCCUUGACUUUGUGAUAACUUCAGGAAACUGGGGCUAAUACCGGAUAGGAUCUCCUGCUGCGUGUGGGUGAUUAGAAAGUUUCGGCUGUUGGGGAUGGACUAGCGGGUUAUCAGCUUGUUGGUGUGGUAGGGGCUUACCAAGGCUGUGACGGGUAGCCGGCCUGAGAGGGUGACCGGCCACAUUGCGACUGAGAUACGGACCAGAAUCCUACGGGAGGCAGUAGUGGGGAAUAUUGCACAAUGGGCGGACGCCUGAGGCAGAAACGUCGCGUGCGGGAUGACGGCUUACGAGUUGUAAACAGAUUUCGCCUGUGAUGAAGAGUGAGUGACGGUAAUGGGUAAAGAAGCAACGGCUAACUACGUG
rnacentral:rRNA from 1 species